GUUAAGUAAGGGCGUAUGGCGGAUGCCUAGGCUCUCAGAGGCGAUGAAGGACGUGAUAAGCUGCGAAAAGCUACGGGGAGGGGCACAUACCUUAUAAUCCGUAGAUAUCCGAAUGGGGCAACCCGGCAUGUUGAAGACAUGUCACCUAGCAAUAGGGGUAAACCCGGUGAACUGAAACAUCUAAGUAACCGGAGGAAGAGAAAACAAUAGUGAUUCCGUUAGUAGUGGCGAGCGAACGCGGAUUAGCCCAAACCAAUAUUGUUACGGCAAUAUUGGGGUUGUAGGACCACAAUAUUUGAUGCUACGUGAAUUAGAACUGUUUGGAAAGACAGACCAAAGAGGGUGAUAGUCCCGUAAAAGUAAGCAAAGUUAUUGAUAGUGGUAUCCUGAGUAGUGCGGGACACGAGUAAUCCUGUAUGAAUCCACCGGGACCAUCCGGUAAGGCUAAAUACUCCUGAGAGACCGAUAGUGAACUAGUACCGUGAGGGAAAGGUGAAAAGAACCCCGGGAGGGGAGUGAAAAGAACAUGAAACCGAAAGCUUACAAGCAGUAGAAGGACGACUAUAACGUCUAACUUCGUUCCUGUUGAAGUAUGAGCCGGCGACUUGUAGGCAGUGGCAGGUUAAGGUAGUACCGGAGCCACAGUGUAAGCGAGCCUUAAUAGGGCGUCGUCACUGUUUACAGACCCGAACCCGGAUGAUCUAACCAUGGCCAGUGUGAAACUUGGGUAAUGCUAAGUGGAGGUACGAACCGACUGAUGUUGAAAAAUCAGCGGAUGAGUUGUGGUUAGGGGUGAAAUGCCAAUCGAAUCCGGAGCUAGCUGGUUCUCCCCGAAAUGUGUUUAGGCACAGCGGUUAAUGUUUAAGUUCAGGGGUAAAGCACUGUUUCGGUGCGGGCUGCUAACGCGGUACCAAAUCGUGGCAAACUAAGAAUACUGAACAUUUAUAGUUAACCAGUCAGACUAUGGGGGAUAAGCUUCAUUGUCAAGAGGGAAACAGCCCAGACUACUAGCUAAGGCCCCUAAAUUGUGACUAAGUGAUAAAGGAAGUGGGAAUUCUAAAACAACCAGGAGGUUUGCUUAGAAGCAGCAACCCUUUAAAGAGUGCGUAAUAGCUCACUGUUCGAGUGAUCCUGCGCCGAAAAUGUACGGGGCUAAGUCAUAUGCCGAAGCUGUAGGAUAUAAAUAAAAUAUCGGUAGGGGAGCGUUCUAUGCCGACUUGAAGCGCUAACGUAAGUGGGUGUGGAUUGGAUAGAAGUGAGAAUGUUGGCUUGAGUAGCGAAAAUAUUGGUGAGAAUCCAAUAUCCCGAAAACCUAAGGGUUCCUCCGGAAGGCUCGUCCGCGGGGGGUUAGUCAGGGCCUAAGCCGAGGCGGAAAAGCGUAGGCGAUGGACAACAGGUUAAUAUUCCUGUACUUUUUGUUACUGAUAUAGAGGGACGGAGAAGGCUAGAUUCGCCGAAUGUUGGUUAUCGGUCUAAGUGUUCAAGGUGUUGAGAAGCGGUGAAAACGUUUUGAGCUGAGGCAUGAUGGGUAGGUGUAGUAAUUACACUAAAUGGAUUGACGUCAGGCUUCCAAGAAAAGCUUUGAAUAUCAUAAGUAACAAAAACCUGUACCCGAAACCGACACAGGUAGGUAGGUAGAGAAUACCAAGGGACGCGAGAUAACUCUCUCUAAGGAACUCGGCAAAAUGACCUCGUAACUUCGGAAGAAGAGGUACCCUGCAAAGGGUUGCAAAAGCCAGGCCCAGGCGACUGUUUACCAAAAACACAGGUCUCCGCUAAGUCGUAAGACGAUGUAUGGGGGCUGACGCCUGCCCAGUGCCGGAAGGUUUAAGGAGUCGGUUAUUCUUUGAAGAAGCUGAUGACUAAAGCCCCGGUGAACGGCGGCCGUAACAAUAACGGUCCUAAGGUAGCGAAAUUCCUUGUAGGGUAAGUCCCGACCCGC
rnacentral:rRNA from 1 species